GAAAUGCGAUAAGUAAUGUGAAUUGCAGAAUUCAGUGAAUCAUCGAAUCUUUGAACGCAUCUUGCGCUCCUUGGUAUUCCUUGGAGCAUGCCUGUUUGAGUAUCAUGAAAUCUUCAAAGUAAAUCUUUUGUUAACUCAAUUGGUUUCUACUUUGGUAUUGGAGGUCUUUGCAGCUUCACACCUGCUCCUCUUUGUUCAUUAGCUGGAUCUCAGUGUUAUGCUUGGUUCCACUCGGCGUGAUAAGUUAUCUAUCGCUGAGGACACUGUAAAAGGUGGCCAAGGUAAAUACAGAUGAACCGCUUCUAAUAGUCCAUUGACUUGGACAAUACUUUUAUGAUCUGAUCUCAAAUCAGGUAGGACUACCCGCUGAACUUAAGC
rnacentral:misc_RNA from 1 species